rnacentral:rRNA from 1 species
UACAGAGGGUGCGAGCGUUUGUUCGGAAUUAUUGGCGUAAAGGGCGCGUAGGCGGUGCGGUAAGUCACCUGUGAAAUCUCCUGGCUCAACUGGGAGCUUGCAGGCGAAACUGCCGUGCUGGAGUGUGGGAGAGGUGCGUGGAAUUCCUGGUGUAGCGGUGAAAUGCGUAGAUAUCAGGAGGAACACCUGUGGCGAAAGCGGCGCACUGGACCACAACUACGCUGAGGCGCGAAAGCUAGGGGGAGCAAACAGG